rnacentral:rRNA from 1 species
AUUGAACGCUGGCGGCAUGCUUUACACGUGCAAGUCGAACGGUAACAGGCCUUCGGGUGCUGACGAGUGGCGAACGGGGGAGUAAUGCAUCGGAACGUACCCAGAGGUGGGGGAUAACGCAGCGAAAGCUGUGCUAAUACCGCAUGUGAUCUGAGGAUGAAAGCGGGGGACCGAGCAGCAAUGUUUGGCCUCGCGCCUUUGGAGCGGCCGAUGUCGGAUUAGCUAGUUGGUGGGGUAAAGGCCUACCAAGGCGACGAUCCGUAGCUGGUCUGAGAGGACGACCAGCCACACUGGGACUGAGACACGGCCCAGACUCCUACGGGAGGCAGCAGUGGGGAAUUUUGUACAAUGGGCGCAAGCCUGAUCCAGCAGUGCCGCGUGCGGGAAGAAGGCCUUCGGGUUGUAAACCGCUUUUGGCAGGAACGAAACGGUGUCCGCUAAUACCGGGCGCUAAUGACGGUACCUGCAGAAUAAGCACCGGCUAACUACGUG